GGUCACAUUCAUGUGCCCGGGAAGGGCCUGUCCCAGUCGGCUUUGCUCUAUCACCACAGCGUCCCCACUUGGCUGAAGUUGACAUCUGACAAUGUGAAGGAGCAGAUUUACAAACUGACCAAGAAGGGCCUGACUCCUCCACAAAUCGGUGUGAUCCUGAGAGACUGACAUGGUGCUGCAAAAGUGCGUUUUGUGACAGGCAUAAGAAUUCUUAAGUCUAAGGGACUUGCUCCUGAUCUCCCUGAAGAUCUCUACCACUUAAUUAAGAAAGCAGUCGCUGUUCAAAAGCAUCUUGAGAGGAGCAGAAAAGACAAGGAUGCUAAAUUCCUUCUGAUUCUGAUAGAGAGCCGGAUUCACCGUCUGGCUCGAUAUUAUAAAACCAAGCGAGUCCUCCCUCCCAGCUGGAAAUAUGAACCAUCUACAGCUUCG
rnacentral:lncRNA from 1 species